GGGAAUAUUGGGCAAUGGGCGCAAGCCUGACCCAGCCAUGCCGCGUGAAGGAAGACGGCCCUAGUGGUUGUAAACUUCUUUUGUAACAGAGAAAACUUGGUUACGUGUAGCCAAUUGCUAGUAUGUUACGAAUAAGGAUCGGCUAACUCCGUGCCAGCAGCCGCGGUAAUACGGAGGAUCCAAGCGUUAUCCGGAUUUAUUGGGUUUAAAGGGUGCGCAGGCGGACGCAUAAGUCAGAGGUGAAAUUCCAGAGCUUAACUCUGGGACUGCCUUUGAUACUGUGUGUCUUGAGUAUAGUUGGCGUAGGCGGAAUGUGUCAUGUAGCGGUGAAAUGCAUAGAUAUGACACAGAACACCGAUCG
rnacentral:rRNA from 1 species